GUCAGUAUGAGCCAAGCUUGCCCAAAUGAGUGCUGUAAUAGACUACUACUAGGUACUCAGAGGAUGUGUUAGUUUGGGCCAAAUGAGUGCUCUAAUAGACUACUACUAGGUACUCAGAGGAUGUGUUAGUUUGGGCCAAAUGAGUGCUCUAAUAGACUACUUGUCAGGUUCCUGCGGAGCUCUGCUCCGGCCACACCCCCUUCAGCUCACUAACUCUCCCAGCUGCACGCUCAUCAGCUGCAUUCAGGUCCCCAAUCACACAAGCACAUACACCUGUUCCACUCUCUUGCUUCACUCACCGGAAUACUGAUCACGUACACCUGUAGCCUCACUCACCUGCACCGCGUUUACAUUCACCAGGUUCAUAAUCACCCACACCUGUCACAGCCCUUACAUAUACCUCACACUCCCUUCACUCAGGUGUCUGGUAUCGCACUUCAACGGAUAAACAAACCUUGGAUUUCCCGCGACCUGACUUUCAUAUGGAUUACAUUCGCUCCCGUCAUAGUUUGUACCAGUUACGUUUAUCGCUUUAGUUUCAGUUUUACUUAUAGUAUUAGUUCUUGUGUAGUUAGUACCUUGCCGAGUGUGACUCGUGUUUGGUUUGCCGCAGCGGCGUUUUCCUCAGUUCCCUCAGUUCCCAGCAGUGCUACGAGCCUGCGCCCCUCCGUGGGUUGUGACUGUUCAUCGAGGAUUAACCCAUCAGCAUCUCCGUGUCUGCAACCUGUUGUCUGUCCUGUGUGUUCCUGGCUGUCUCUGUCUGCAAUAAACUCUGUUUCCAAGUAUUCCUAUCUCAGAGUCUGUUCGUUCCGUGACACUACUACUAGGUACUCAGAUGAUGUGUUGUAUGGGCCAAAUUAGUGCUCUAAUAGACUACUACUAGGUACUCGGAGGAUGUGUUAGUAUGGGGGUGGGCAUACGUAUGCAACCAAGGUCUGGCUUGUUUUUUAUUAGUAUCUUACUUUAAGAGGUUUCAGGGGUUUUUAUUUCAUAUUAAAUGUUGGA
ensembl:lncRNA